UGUAUUUUAUGUUCAUAUUUUCUGCAGUGGUCUUUCUGGGUCAAUAAAUUGUACCUUUGGACAACGGGCCUGAAAAAGGUUCUGGCUCUACUUUAUGCCUACUGUCAAAUGCAGCUCUUAUUUGAUAUCGUGGUCGGCUCAUGAAAGUCAAAGUACUUUCCCAUGUGUUAGGCAGAGUGAAAUCCAGGAUGUGGAUGUUCAUUUCAAGGGACUGUAUACAUGUUUUGACUGAUUCAGUUCAUAAGAUUUUGGACUCAUACAAAACAUUUAUUCUACCUUCAUAAAGAUACAAACAUACACAUUUACUUGCCUUUUCCAGUGCCACUUUGCAGAACACAACAUCAGGCUUAAUCUUGAAUUGUUACAAAAGAUCUUAGCAAACCUAAGUUGUUCAAUGGAUGUAGGGCCUUGUGUCAAAUCUUUUAUAUACUUCUCUGGAUAAACAGAGAGAAGUGGUUUAAAAAAAAAGGCAUCUGACAAUAACUCGUAUUCUGGGAAGUUACAUAAAACAGGAAACAUGCCAGUAAAGAGUUUCUUCCCUUUUAAGAUGUGUCCAAAUUAAAGGACAAUUGCCUUGGUUGACCAGAGAAAGAUUUCUUUGGUAGCUUGCCCACAAAAACAAUCCAAGAAUAAUGAGUGCAAGUAGCUGGACAAUAUUUUUCUAAAAACCAUUGCUUGAAAAAACAUCAUGGUUCUACAAAUGACCAGCAUGACUUUAUGUUCUGUGUUUAAAUAAUCCAGUAUUCAUUUCCCUGCUUUCCUUCUUUCUGAUUGUCCUUCCAUGGCAAUCUCCCUGUGGUGGGAAGAUCAUGUAUUUCAGUACCUCUGUGAAAAAAAAACCAAACUUAUCUUUCUUUUUUAUAUAAUAAAUUAGUCCAGGAUUCUUUAUUUUCAUUGUAGUGCUUUUGGCUCUGUGGUGAUGCAGUGAAACUCAGUAACUUUCUAUUUUUAUGUCUUAGUGGAUGUUUCUGCAUGCAGAAAACUUCCUAACUUCUAAACAUUAUGGAUUUGCUGGCUUUUAGUGCAUUUCUUGACAAUGUAAUUAGUCUUUCCUCCAGCUUUCUUUUUAUCAAGAAAUGGCACCUUUUUAAAGGAAAAGAGAAAACAAAAACAAAACAACCUGACUUGAGGUCUCGGUUCACACAGAGUUUCCUUUGCAGUAAGGGUGAAGAAAGACAUAGAACCUGAGUGACAGAUUAGAGGAUAUAAAAGCAGUCACCUGUCAACCCAAUCCAGCAAUGAAAUUCAGCAGCCUAUUGUCCCAAUCACUGCUUUCAAUCACUCUAAACGGUCUCCAGAGACAAUCAUUAUUAUAGGACAUGUUCCUAAGAGUAGAUAAAUGGAGCUCAACCUGCCAGCCUGCAUAGGGAAAGAUGGACAGUCUUGGCCAAAAAUAUGAAAGGGCCUGGAGCUUUAUUGACAUUUACAUCAAAAAUAGUUAGCAAUGAAAGCAGCUGUUGUGGAGAGCUUUCACCACAACGUGUUUGGAAUAUGCUGUGAAUUGAAAUACAGACCUCCUGACAAGCAAUUUACCUUCUGUCAUUCUCCAUGUGCUUGCAGCAUUACUGGGUACUUGCUGUGAUAGCCCACUUAAAGCUGCACAUGUGUACAGUUUGGAUGAAAGAUUAACUGCAAUUUGAGGCAGGAAGUAACGAAUUGUGGAGUGCCAUUCAUAAUGGCCGACAUUGUCAUCUGCAGGGUGACACCACAGCAAGAAGGUGCCUCUGUUGUGACGAGCUUAUAGAUUCAGAUGUCAUUCAUCCUAAUGAAGAUCUGCCUACAGUUCUAAUAAGCAGAGUGUGAGACAGCUCAGGAUUACAAGCAUUAAUCUGCCUUGUUUGUUGACAUUAACAUGAUGACUAAAAUGCCAUUAUGCAAGAAAUUCUUUCUAAAGCUAUUAAAAAGGGGCACUCUUAAUGUGAGUAUUACAGCCCAGAACAAAAGACGUGCCAGGAGUUAAUUUCUGUGUUUACUCUUGUCAUUUUCUACACCGUAUUGAUUUUUUUAUUCCUCAAAAUAACUUAUGUUGCACAAAAGUUUCUGUUAUUUCAUGAAUAUAGUACCACUUAUUGCAGCUGAAAUACAACCCACAUGCUGGUUUCCCCUAGCGCAAAACGUAAUCCAUUAACCCCCAGUGAUCAUAGCAGGUUGUGUUUAAUGCAAAUAACAAUAGGAUAAAUAUUUAGCUAUCAUUUUGUGAAAACAACAAACCUGAAUCAUGCCAAGCUUACUUAAAAGGAAGACUUAUGCUAAUAUUUAAUUUAAAUAAUUGACCUAAUAUGUAGGUAGAUUGGAUUUUCUUUUCAGCCAUACAAAUAAGCCAUUUUCAAGCUGAUGCAGUGCUCUUGACUAUGGGUGUCAAUGGAGACCUGCCAAGGCUGAUUUUUCCAAAGACAUCAAGUCUCUUACAAGUCAUUAUCAACGGGAAUUGAAAUAAAUCUGUGUGUAAAUCUGUGUUUAAAGAGGGCUAGAAGAAGGAUAUUAAGGGGUUUGAUCUUUAUCCCUGCAGAAGUAGAUGACAUAUAUAAAAAUGGAUUUGUGUGCCUGCCUUUACAACUAAGCUUAAGUAUCAUUUGCUAUCUAAAAACUGUAUUCACUAGCAAAAUCCAGGCAGCAAUCUAGUAUCUCAGAUAAGGGCUAAAAUAUUUUCACUGUAGAUACACACCUAAGACACACAGGUUUUAAAGGACAGUGAUGCAGAUGGGAGAUUUCUUUGCACUUGUACAUGCUUCAGCAUCUUGGUUUGUUUUUUGUUUUGCUGUUUGUUUUGGGGUGUUGGUUUUUUUUUUACACCUAGUUCUUAAAACCAACUUGAAAAUUCUUAAUUCUUAAUUUAUGUAAGACACAUUUCACCAGAACAUAGCUAUUGCUAUUUUUGCUGUCUGGAUGUGGAACAAAUUACACUCCUCAGUAAGAAAUUUGGGUUGAUGGUAGGUUAGUAAAAGAUCUUCUAAAAAAGUUAGUCAAAA